rnacentral:ncRNA from 1 species
UGAUUCCUCCCAAGAGUUCAUAUCGACGGGGGAGUUUGGCACCUCGAUGUCGGCUCAUCACAUCCUGGGGCUGUAGCCGGUCCCAAGGGUAUGGCUGUUCGCCAUUUAAAGUGGUACGUGAGCUGGGUUUAAAACGUCGUGAGACAGUUUGGUCCCUAUCUGCCGUGGGCGUUGGAAAUUUGAAGGGGGCUGCUCCUAGUACGAGAGGACCGGAGUGGACGAACCUCUGGUGUACCGGUUGUCACGCCAGUGGCAUUGCCGGGUAGCUAAGUUCGGAAGAGAUAACCGCUGAAAGCAUCUAAGCGGGAAACUUGCCUUGAGAUGAGAUUUCCCGGAGCCUUGAGCUCCUUGAAGGGUCGUUCGAGACCAGGACGUUGAUAGGCUGGGUGUGGAAGUGCAGUAAUGCAUUAAGCUAACCAGUACUAAUUGCCCGUACGGCUUGUCCCU